UGGGGAUUAGUCUAGCGGUAGGACGACUGACUCUGGAUCAGUUAGGCCAGGUUCGAAUCCUGGAUCCCCAG
rnacentral:tRNA from 1 species